rnacentral:rRNA from 1 species
UUCGGUAACUGAGCUAGCGGCGGACGGGUGAGUAAUGCUUAGGAAUCUGCCUAUUAGUGGGGGACAACAUUCCGAAAGGAAUGCUAAUACCGCAUACGCCCUACGGGGGAAAGCAGGGGAUCUUCGGACCUUGCGCUAAUAGAUGAGCCUAAGUCAGAUUAGCUAGUUGGUGGGGUAAAGGCCUACCAAGGCGACGAUCUGUAGCGGGUCUGAGAGGAUGAUCCGCCACACUGGGACUGAGACACGGCCCAGACUCCUACGGGAGGCAGCAGUGGGGAAUAUUGGACAAUGGGCGCAAGCCUGAUCCAGCCAUGCCGCGUGUGUGAAGAAGGCCUUUUGGUUGUAAAGCACUUUAAGCGAGGAGGAGGCUACUUGGAUUAAUACUCUAGGAUAGUGGACGUUACUCGCAGAAUAAGCACCGGCUAACUCUGUGCCAGCAGCCGCGGUAAUACAGAGGGUGCGAGCGUUAAUCGGAUUUACUGGGCGUAAAGCGUGCGUAGGCGGCUUCUUAAGUCGGAUGUGAAAUCCCUGAGCUUAACUUAGGAAUUGCAUUCGAUACUGGGAAGCUAGAGUAUGGGAGAGGAUGGUAGAAUUCCAGGUGUAGCGGUGAAAUGCGUAGAGAUCUGGAGGAAUACCGAUGGCGAAGGCAGCCAUCUGGCCUAAUACUGACGCUGAGG